rnacentral:rRNA from 1 species
AUACGGAGGGUGCAAGCGUUAUUCGGAAUCACUGGGCGUAAAGGACGCGUAGGCGGGAUGCCAAGUCUGAUGUGAAAUCCUAUGGCUCAACCAUAGAACUGCAUUGGAAACUGGUAACCUAGAGUAUGGGAGGGGGAGAUGGAAUUAGUGGUGUAGGGGUAAAAUCCGUAGAUAUCACUAGGAAUACCGAAAGCGAAGGCGAUCUCCUGGAACAAUACUGACGCUAAGGCGUGAAAGCGUGGGGAGCAAACGGGAUUAGAAACCCUUGUAGUCC